CCUACGGGAGGCUGCAGUGGGGAAUAUUGGACAAUGGAGGAAACUCUGACGCAGCAACGCCGCGUGAGUGAUGAAGGUCUUCGGAUUGUAAAGUUCUAUUCUAAGGGAAGAAGAAAGUGACGGUACCUUAAGAAUCAGCCUCUGCUAACUACGUGCCAGCAGCCGCGGUAAUACGUAGGAGGCGAGCGUUAUCCGGAAUGACUGGGCGUAAGGGGUGCGUAGGUGGCUGGGCAAGUCAUGAGCGUAACUCCAAGGCUCAACCUUGGAACUACUACUGAAACUGUCUGACUUGAGUGCAGGAGGGGCAACCGGAAUUCCUAGUGUAGCGGUGGAAUGCGUAGAUAUUAGGAGGAACACCAGUGGCGAAGGCGGGUUGCUAGACUAUAACUGACAUUGAGGCACGAAAGCGUGGGGAGCAAACAGGAUUAGAUACCCUUGUAGUC
rnacentral:rRNA from 1 species